rnacentral:rRNA from 1 species
GGAAGGAUCAUUAUUGAAUAAACCUGAUGCGGCUGUUAGCUGGCUUUUCGAAGCAUGUGCUCGUCCAUCAUCUUUAUAUCUCCACCUGUGCACCUUUUGUAGUCUUGAAUACCUCUCGAGGCAACUCGGAUUUUAGAAUUGCCGUGCUGUACAAGUCGGCUUUUCUAUCAUUUUCAAGAUUAUGUUUUCUUAUACACACCAAAGUAUGUUUAAAGAAUGUCAUCAAUAGGAACUUUUUUUUUCCUAUAAAAACAUACAACUUUCAGCAACGGAUCUCUUGGCUCUCCCAUCAUUCAGGAACGCAUGCAAGUCCGAUAAGUAAUGUGAAUUGCAGAAUUCGUCGAAUCAUCCAAUCUUUGAACGAACCUUGGCCCUCUUUGGUAUUCCGAGGAUGAUGCCUGUUUGAGUGUCAUUAAAUUCCUCACCUUUCCAGCUUUUAUACCUUCGGUCAGGCUUGGAUGUGGGGGUUUGCAGGCUUCCCUGACAUCCGCUCUCCUGAAAUGCAUUAAUGGAACUUUUGUGGACCAACUAUUGGUGUGAUAAUUAUCUACAACGUGGAUGUAAAGCAGUUUUUAUAAAGUUCACUUCCUAACCGUCCUUUGACUGGAACAAUUUUGACAAUUUACCCCCAA